CGCGCGGUGCAUUAGCUAGUUGGUAGGGUAACGGCUUACCAAGGCAAUGAUGCAUAGCCGAGUUGAGAGACUGAUCGGCCACAUUGGGACUGAGACACGGCCCAAACUCCUACGGAAGGCAGCAG
rnacentral:rRNA from 1 species